UGCCGCGUGGUCUAAUGAUUAAGAUUCCUGGCUCUCACCCAGGCGGCCCGGGUUCGACUCUCUGCGCGAGAG